UGGGCUUGACAUGUUGGUGGUAGUGAAGCGAAAGUGGAACGGGCCUUCGGGGAGCCUUCAC
rnacentral:rRNA from 1 species